CAAGUGGUACUAUUGCCUCUUUUCUAUUUGCACUUUGCAAUUUCCCUUCCUCUCUUGCUAAUUCUCUUCCAAUCUACUUUUACAAUCGUCAUCUGGUUCCCGGUGACAUUGCGCAAUCAGACUCGGCGUCUUUGGGGCGUUAAAUUGAUUCUCUUUGUCCCUGUGUCUCCCCGUCUGUUGGGCCCCAUAACAACCGGCGGCUGACAAACGCACUUAUGCGCAGCGCAAGCGAACUGCAGCCCCGAGGUGUGUGUGUGAUGAGGGGGGGAUUUCUUAAUGGGAAUAAUAAAACAUAUUCCUUGCACUUUGCAAAUAAUACAUAGCACAUUAAAAGGAUUUCAGCGAAACUAUAUCACACAGGCGCUCGCGUGUGACCCGAUGUGCGCAUGUCGGUGAUGGUAUAUAAAAGUGGACUUUAUCUCUGGUCGGUUUGCAUCGACAUGAAAGUGUAUGGAGGCCUUAGACUUUCCAUUAUAGUAAACAAGGAAAUAAUAGAAGUGUAUGAAUCAGGUGAGGCGCUUCUUUUGUUUUUUAAUGUCACGAAGAGAAACAUUGUUGCGUUUGGAUCUCCUUUGACACGUAUACCACAGAUGUGGUGCUAUACUUACAGAAGCACGCCCGGUUUGAUUUAUGUCCAUAGUGAAUUAUUGUGGUGAUAUGUGACACCGAUCGAAUGCUAAAAAGACUGAAGACAACCGUGUAAAAGAACAAAACAGUCAGAAUUCUGUUGUGAGCAUCAAGUCAAAAAAUACACAUGCAGAAUUUUCAGAAAUAGAUUAAAAUGCCAUAACCAUUACGGCUCUAUGGCAUGGCUUAUAUCUUAAUUCCAUUGUUCAUAAGAAAGCCAAAAGAGUCAGUGUGCAUUUUCUUGCCAUUUACAAAGUGAAUGAAUAUGUGCACUGCGUGUUCUGAAAUAAAUACAGCCAGUCUCAUUCUGCGUCUCGUUCUCUUUGUUCCGCCACAGGCCCCGAUUUGUCUGAAUGGCUGUACUGCAGACAGUACGACUGACAAAUAGAGACAAAGACUCUAUUUUUACAUGUACUUGACUGUGCGCUACCCCCACCAUUCCUGCGUAUCUUCAUGCUUUCUCGCAGCUCUGCGAAGUAACACGGGUCAGAGCCGAGUGUCAGAUAAUAAGUUUAAACCUUGCUUUCUGUGCAAGAUCACAUGUAGACAGAUGGAGGGACUCUCUUUAACUUUCAUUUCCACCCUCGCCCCCACCCCUUUCUCGCUCCUCUGGCGAUCUUUCCCUCUCCUUUCUCCCUGCAACGGCAGGACGCUCCGUUUCCUCUCUGGUUUGUGGGAACGGGAAGCAGCAGUAUUGUGUUGGCGCUGACUGCGGUUUAAUCAUUGAUGACUACCAACGCUGCACGCAGAGGACCGCACAGGCUAGGCCUUUUAUAUGCGCAUUCUGCUAUUACAUACAGUACUGUACAGCCAUUAAAGUCGUUCUGGCUUUGACGGUGGAGUGUUAAAGAUAACUUCUCAGUAGCACGCAGUCGCAUUGCUGAUAGACAUUUGCAGGCACAUGUGCAACAGUAUAUUAUUUUUGAAAAAGUAUUCAAAAUAUAUGCUGCUGUGGACCGGUGUUUUUUGAAGUAAGGAUCUGAAGUGGGAGAUCAACAUCAACUCCAUCCUCAAAAAGGCCCAACAGAGGAUACAAUUCCUGCAGCUUCUGAGGAAGCACGGCCUGCCACAGAAGCUGUUGAGGCAGUUCUACACAGCAGUCAUCGAAUCAGUCCUGUGUUCUUCCAUCACAAUCUGGUUUGUUGCUACUACAAAAAAGGACAAACUCUGACUGCAACGGACAAUCGAAACUGGUGAAAAGAUUGUCAGUACCCCCCUACCCACCCUUGAGGACUUGCACUGUGCCAGAACUAAGACAAGAGCAUGCAAAAUCCUCUUGGAGCCUCCACAUCCUGGUCACCAGCUCUUCCAGCUCAUUCCCUCAGGUAGGCGCUACCGAACAAUGCAAACUAAAACAAGCAGACAUUCCAACAGCUUCUUCCCUCUUUUCAUUAACUUCUUAAACAGUUAACUUAAAAUUCCAUUGCAACAUGUGGCCAAUUUUCUUGAGGGGAGAAUGUUGUCGCAUCUAUGUCAGGCCAAUUAUACACUACUCAUGCUUUCACUGUAGUAGUCUCGCCACGCCGCACUAGUUGCAAUAUCUGUUGUUGACCAAUACGGGCCACUCAUGUACCUGAGUAGCAUCUGCAACAUUUGCACAAGCGACAUUGUCCCAGAUUAUCACACUACUUGUCACUUUAAACUGCAUCAAUUUCUUGAAGUCUCUGCGCCCUUUGCACAAUGGCCAUUGCACUGGACUAUUGUUCUAUUAGUCAUUUCAAACUGCUCUAAUUGCUGGAGGACUCUGCAUCUUUUUGAACAAUUGUCGAAAAAAAAAAAAAAAAAAUCCCGGCAUUACCACAUUACUGUUAACCUUUUACUGCUCAGUGACUGUGUCUUAAUGUCGCAAAAGUAUUCUAUGUCAAUUGACUGUCUGCUGUCGUACUAGAGCGGCUCCAGCUACCGUAGACAAAUUCCUUGUGUAUUUUUGACAUACUUGGCAAAUAAAGAUGAUUCUGCUGA